GCGGUGCGCCCGCGGGCCCCGACCGCUGGGCGGAGAGGCGCCGGCGCAGGUAGCUGGGCUGCCGCCGGGGAGAGAGCGCGGGCGCCGGGCCGCCGCGGCGGAAUGGGGCGGCUCGGGGCCCGCCGCCUCGUCCUUCUCGCCGCCUGCCUGGGGCUCUGCGGGGCGCGCGGGGCGCUCGGAGCAUCUUUUUAUGGUGAAAGCUAUGUGGAGCUCAACAUCAUAGAAGUUUCGCCUGAGUUAUCUCUUCAAUUAAAAUUUCAAACCAGCAAACCACAGGGAUUACUUUUUCUUGCAGCUGGGAAAAAUGACUACUGUAUAAUAGAACUUCUAUCGGGAAACUUACGGGUGAGGGUGAAUUUGGGUGCAGGUGAACAAGUGCUCCUUUCUGAGCAAAGACUUCGUGUGGAUGACCUGGUUUGGCAUUUAGUGGAACUAUACUAUGUUAAAAACAAUCUCUCUCUGGUUAUCGACAAACAGUAUGAGACAACUGGCCAGAUCACUGGUGAGAUACACAAUUUGCACUUUCAACAUGGAAUCUACAUAGCAGGCCAUGGUGGACUCGACGUCCCUUACCUAGAUGGAGAGCUUCCCAAUUUCCGUGGAUGUAUGGAGGAUGUAGUAUUUAACCAGAGGGAGAUCCUCGCAUCCCUCAGGACUUACCCUGGUUUUAAGAAAGUUUAUGAGGUGUCACUAGGAUGCAAUGAUGAAUUUUUUGCAGGGGAGGAUGAAGCCAUCAAUUUCUUUAGCUCCAGAUCCUACGUUGCCUUCCCAGAAUGGAGGGUACAAGGGGAAGGGCUGUUGGAAUUUGCUUUGCAGACUGGAACUCAACAAGCUUUGCUUUUUUUUCAGUCAGGUAGAGAAGGAGAUUUUGCUGCUUUGGAAAUAGUGAAUGGUCUGUUGAAGGCUCGUGUAGGAAGGAGGAACAGUAACACCCAGCUCUCUUCUGUUAGCUUAAUUAGUGACAACAAGUGGCACAUUAUUCAACUCAAAUUCACUGGAAGGUAUCUGGACCUGAUGGUGGAUGAGCAAGGGGUAAGGACGUUGCUGCCUUUGCAAAGCGAACCAUUUGUAUCGGAAGGUCCUCUCUUCGUGGGAGGUCUUGAUAAACAUAAGGGAGAAGAAGUUAAGAAGUUAGAACUUGCCUCUGUGUCCAGGAAAUCUGCACGAGGAAUCUCUUUCAAAGGGUGCUUAAGAGGCUUGGAAACCAACUCAGAAAAGAGAGCAUUAAAGAAUGCCCUUGUGUCCAAAGAUGUAGCUGCCGGGUGUAAAUUGCAGAGUAGUGAUAAUGAAAACCCUUUCAUAACGACAACAGAAAACCUGCUUCGGUCAGAAGUUCCCCUUUCCACUACUGUCCCCGAGGCAGGCAAGUCUUUUCUUCACCAUGCGAGUAGCUAUUUCUUGAGUCUGAAUAACUUGGAGGUCCAAGAAGGUGGGCGAGUGUUACUGGAACAAAGGCAUAUGAACGUGGAUGUGGCAUCAGAAGAUUUGGGCAUCUAUCCUUCUCAAAUACUAUUUAAAAUAGAGGAAAUGCCCCUUCAUGGGUUCCUUCGAAUCAAUGUUUCCCCCGCGCAGAGAAUGGAGGAGGCUUUCACUAUGUUAGAUUUGGGGCAAGGGAAAGUUUGGUAUGUCCAUGAUGGUUCAGAAGAAUCUAGGGAUUUUUUCACAUUUUCAGUCUCAUCCCAGAACAAGAAGGAAAUGCCAUUAUAUCUGCAAGGACAUGUUCCAUAUGUGUUUAACAUUACUGUCCUUCCAGUAAAUGAUCCCCCAGUCCUUAAGCUCCCUGAAGGAAACUUGCUUCUCCUGUUUGAGAAUUCUAAGAAACGACUGACUCCAAAUAUAAUACACGUGUCAGACCCUGACACAGAUUCCUUGAGUCUUAAUUUCUCAGUUCUUGGCAACUUCAAUUCAGAUGCUGGGUUUUUAGAAAACACCAAUGGUCCUGGGAAAGCCAUUAAUGGUUUUACGCAUGGGGAUUUAAGAGAUGGCAACAUUUUCUACGUGCACAGAGGUCAUCGGAACUCCCGGAUCCUUCUGAGAGCAAGCGAUGGAGAGCUGGUUAGCAAUACGGUAGUGUUACGGGUUGUGGCUGUUCCUUGGGACUUCGAAGUGGCUGUUAGAACUGGGGUAGUUGUCCAGCAGGGUGGCACAGCUCUGAUUACACAGAGCAACUUGUCAGUGGAGGUUAACGGUGAACCCCACGAGAUGGAGACCCGCUAUGCUCUCACUCAUCCACCCCAGUUUGGCCAGAUUCAGCGGCAGGGGUCAAGGGAUGAAUGGAAACAAGUUAGUACCUUUUCUCAGCGUUCCAUUGAUCGGGGUCGGGUCCGGUACCGCAGUACAUUUCAAGAAUUACAGCUAGAAAAUGUUACAGAUCACUUUAAAUUUAAAGUUAACAUAGAAGGAAAAAUCAGUGAAGAGCUGACGUUUCCUAUUACUGUACACUGGCUAAAGUUUAUACUUCUGAAAAAUGUUCCUCUCGAGGUCAGGAAAACAGGCAGACAAGUAUUGAACUCUGAUCAUCUGCAGGCUGUGACGGAGGGUGUGGACGUAACUCAGAGAGAACUGCAUUUUAAGUUACUGACCCCACCUAAGAAAGGAAAAUUGCUAGUUGGCAAUAAAGUUCUAAAAACAAACUCCGUCUUCAGCCAGCAAAACAUUGCAGACUCUAAGAUAAGUUAUGAGGCACAGGAGAGGCCCAGGGAAGACACACAAGAUACCUUUAGGUUCUUGAUUGUUGCAAAACACAUAGAAUCAAAAGAUUAUACUUUCAGAAUAAACUUUGAAGCAGAUAAGACAUGCAUUGUUGUAACUAACAGAGGAUUAUUUGUGAAAGAAGGAGAAGGGAAAUUAAUUACGAAAUCGGAAUUAUUUGCUCAAACACUGGACAAUCAGACCUUCCAAUAUAGAAUCACCAAGAGUCCUCAACACGGGACGCUAAAACUGGUUAACUUUUCAGAUCCUCUGGGAAGUCGUGACAAUAUCACCGCAUUCACUGAUCAAGACAUAGUAGGCAAGCGGCUGAUGUAUGUCCAUGAUGACUCUGAGACCCAGCAUGAUGAAUUCCUCCUUGUGGCCUCUGCCAUAGGACCAGGCCAAAAAGGAGUGGUCAGGCAUCCUGACACGGAACAUUUAUCUACAGAAAUCAAAGUUGCCAUUUCUGUAGAGUUAAAGAAUGAUGAGAAACCAGUGCGUGUGGUAGAUAAGGUCUUUCAUGUCGUGAGGAAUGGCCAGCGCCUACUGACCCUGGCAGAUCUCUGUUACCAUGACCCCGACUCAGAUUUUGAUGAUGGGCAGUUGCUCUAUACCCGGCGGGGCAUCCCAAAUGGGGACCUGGUGAGACCCACUGAUCUGUCUCAGAAACUCUACCAGUUUAGGCAAGAAGACCUGCGGGAAGGGAGAGUGCUCUUCAGACAUCGGGGAGCAGACUCUGCCCGCUUUGUGCUGUUCGUGACAGAUGGUGUCCAUUACACAUCAUCCCUUCUUGAGGUCAGUGUGUCAGACCCUUAUGUCCAGAUAGCCAACAACACAGGGCUGGUUGUACAGAGAGGAGAGGACAGCAGCCUCACAACAACUAACCUCAGUGUCACCACAAACCAAGAUGUCAGAACAGACCACGAGAUUGAAUUCUACAUGCUGCAGCCCCCAAAGCAUGGCAGACUGCUGGUCAACCAUUCAGUGUCCCACUCAUUUUCCCAGCACGACUUGAAGCAAGGACAUGUGAUUUAUAGGCAUGAUGGCAGCGGCAACUCUGAUGUGUUCAACCUGACAGUGAAAGUUAAAGAGAUAUAUGUAGACGUGGGCAUCUAUGUACGAAUGUACUCAGAAAGUCACCAACAUCGCACCCAAAUUCUGCUCAUCAAGACCCUUGUAGUUGAAGAAGGAAAACCAGUAAAACUGAGUAGAGGAAGACUCCAGGCUGUCCACGAAGAUAAUAUUCCUUCAGAGGCAGUGUUCACUGUCAGAAUUCCACCAAUGCAUGGAUACCUCAGGAAAUCUUUACCAGAAGAAGGCAGCUUGAGUGCAGAUGCAAAGUCCCCUCUGAUUUUUACACAACAAGAUAUUGAUGAUGGGGAUAUUCUUUAUGUGCAGACAGCUCCUGACCAACAACAGGACCAUUUUUUACUGGAAGUGGUGAAUGGUUUCCAAGCUGUAAAUGGAAUUGAAAUCUUAGUGGAUAUCGUCCCUAAGCGGAUUCCUCUCGAGGUACAAAAUUUCACAAUCCGAGAAGGUGGUUCCAAAGCACUUCUGGAAGACUAUCUCAAAAUUCGAAACAAAUAUUUUGAGGGAGUUGACUGUGAAUUUGUUCUACUGAAACCACCAAAACAUGGUUAUGUUGAACAUUCUAAUUUUCCAAGAGUAAAGCUAAUGAAGUUUACCAGGAAACAGGUGGAAAAUGAACUGAUUUACUACGUGCAUGAUGAUAGCGAGGAGCUUCUUGACAAUUUCACCAUCUUUGCAAGUAGCUCAGAGCUUGGAAAACAGAGUCUGCCCCAAACUCUUUUUGUAACUGUGGAAUCCGUAAAUGAUGAGGCUCCAGUAAUAACAGCCAACAAAAUCCUUCAGGUGUGGGCAAAUUCUGUCACUGAGAUUACCAGGGGUGACCUCUGUGCAGAAGAUGAGGACUCCUCCCCGCAGGACCUCACCUACUGGGUCACUCCACCCAGCAACGGGCAUUUGGCUCUCCAGUCCUUUCCUGGCCGAAGCAUCCAGAACUUCACCCAGGCUCAAAUCAACAAGGGCCAGCUAGUGUUUGUACACACUGGAGCCAUGUCAGGAGGCUUUAAUUUUCAGGUUACUGAUGGUUUGAACUUUGCACCACGACAAAUUUUUAGCAUCACCGCUCGAACCCUGACCCUUAGCUUAGAAGUAAACCGAGGACUGAGCAUCUUUCCAGGUUCCAUGAAGCCCCUUUCAUCUGGUGACCUGAGAGCUGUGACCAGUGAUGCGGACAGCAUAGGAAACAGAACUGUAACGUUUAUGGUUAUAAGUUCCCCUAGACUCGGGAGGCUGGUGCGAGUCAAUUCUGACAACAGCACAGAGGAUAUUUCCGUGUUUACGCAGAAUCUGGUCAAUGAACGGCUUAUAGUAUACCAGCAUGUGGACCAUGAGAACACUGGCUGGACUGCAGAAGACUCUUUCACGUUUACGACAUCAUCCCCACCGGCAGCUCUAGGCCCUGAGGAGUUUCGUAUUACUAUUUCAUAUGAAAUUACUGAACCUGGUCGGCAGAGUCGUCUGCUUGCAAAUACAGGAGCUGCUGUCAAGGAGGGAGACAAAGUUCUCAUUGACCAAUCUAAUUUAGAUGCUUCCAACCUCUUACUGAAAUUGCCCAAAUCUCAGCGAUCUUCCUAUGAAAUCUGGUUCUGGGUUACGUCUCUUCCUCACCAUGGAACCAUUAUGGUUGGAGAGAGGAAUAUUACCAAGGAAAAACCCAAUUUCUCCCAGUAUAUAGUUAAUAAAUUUGGAAUCAUAUACCUUCACGAUGACUCUGAAUCGCUGGCUGAUAAUUUUACCUUUGCCGUUUGGCCGAAACAAAAGAGCAAGUCCACCACCAAGCCAGAGGCUGACUUCCUUGAAGAGAUGUUUAACAUCACCAUAUCUCCUAUUAAUGACCAGGCACCAGAAUUAAAGACAAAAGGGCUUCGGUUGAAAGUUCUGCAGGGAAAUAGGUUGGUUGUGGGACCAGAAAACCUAAGAGUGGAAGAUCUCGACAGUCCUCCAGAGGAGAUCAGAUAUAUGAUCAUCCGUAAUCCUAAUAAUGGCUUUUUGGCAAUGGCUCACCAUCCAGACAUACCUGUUCACCAUUUCACGCAAGCUGACAUAGAUAACUCUCAGGUAUGGUUUGUACAAGAUGGAAGCCCAUCUUCGGGUGUGUUUUACUUUAGUGUGACUGAUGGCCAACACCGCCCACUCUAUAAGCUCUUCCACCUGGAUGUCAUCCCCAUCUCCAUCACCCUUGUGAACCUCACGGACCUACUUCUCCCACAAGGCCAGACAACUGUCCCCAUCACCAAUACUCACUUGUCAGCAACGACCAAUGGGAGAAGCCCCCAAAUCACUUACAAGAUGACAUGGCCCCUCCAACAUGGGCAUCUGCUCAUUGAAAACCAGGUGGUUGUUAGCUUUGGGCAGGAAGAUCUACAUUCAGGAAGACUUUCUUACCAUAUGACACAUCUCAGGGCCUCAGAGGACCAGCUGUAUUUCUCAGUAUUUACACCAGAAAGCAAUCUGACGGGACAGACACUGAACAUCAGAGUGCAGCCUUUACUGCGGGUUAUGUCAAACCUGACAGUCACCAACAGGGAGGUUUAUCAGCUGAAAAGAAAGGACCUUGAUGCUACUGAGCUUGCUAAUAGGACUAACAGUGAUCCCAAAUUUGAAGUGACCGAACUCCCUGUCCAUGGAAGACUUGUACGAAGAGUGGGCCGAGGCAUGGCAAUGGAAAACGCUACUCUGUUCACUCAGAGGGACAUUGACCAAGGGCUGUUGAUGCUUCAUCCACAUGCCAACCUAACAGGCAUUGAUAUGCUGAAUGACUCCUUCACUUUCUUGCUCAGGGCAGACCAUGUGCAGCCAGCAAUAGGUCAUCUACCCUUCACCAUAGUGUCACCUGACCCCUUAUGUUUGCAAACCUUUACCCCUGAUGUUUCUUUAUUAGUCACUGCAGAUAACCUUGUGACUUUAGGUCUCUCUCAGGAAAAGCCUGUGGUUUCCUCAGGACCCACAGCAAAGACAGAAACUCUAGGGAAGCUGACCCAGACCAGGCAGCAGGAAGCAAGUCCCUGGGGACGACACCCUGGUGAAGAGUCUACUCUGGAUGGCAAGGCUUCUCCAAACAGGGUCAUUUGGCCACCAGACACAACCAGUGCCAGUCCUGGGGCACCCACCCAGCCCAGGGAGAGCAGUUAUCCCCUGAUGGUCAUUGUACCCUUGGCUGUGGUGGUCUUCCUGCUGAUAAUAACUGCAGUGGCCUUGUGUGUCUGGCUGCUGGGACAGAAGGUAGAAAAGACAAAACCUCUUAUCAAGUCCCAGACCAAUCUUGAACCUACAACCCCAAGUCCUAGACCAGAAAGGAGCAUAACUGUUCCCACUGUCACAGUGACACCCCUUCUAAAAAGCUCCAGAAAUCCCCCAGUCAGUCUUUUCAGGGACCCACAAAGUGAGCAAAUGGCUUCUCCAGCCACUGAGCCAGUGGAGAAAUGUGCUCCUUGGGAGACGUGGAUGAAUCUGGAUCCCAAUAUGGUCAAGUUCUGCCAACAAACCAACCCAACACUGAAGCACAACCAGUAUUGGGUGUAGACCGAAGGCUUUUGUUCCUGAUUGACCACCUACCGUACUGGGGUAGACACUGGUGUACAAAGGCAAAGAAAUGUUGGUUGGAUCAACUGAGAAAAGCCUGGCCCUGCCAGUCAGUCACUCAGUGCUCAGUUAUGGCCCCAUAGAUGUGGGCAAGUGUUUACUGUAACUCGUACAACACUCAUCUGAUGGGCUUUCCAUAACGAGCUCUGUCUGCCUUCUUCUGGACCUGACUCUAAGUAUAAGAUUUUAUCGAUAUUUAAAUCCUUUAUCAAGGUGCUACCAAACAUGCUGGUCCAACUGGAAACAGCAGUAUUAACUUGGGUGCUAAAGUUAAUGGAGGAAGCCUUUGGAUAUUUUCCACUAAGGAUUCACUCUCUCUAAGUGAGUCAGCAAGGAAAUGCAGGAACUGUUUCAGCAAGCAGAAAAGGUUGCUUUUCUGUCCCAACCCAAUUUUAACUGCUCUUUGUGGAAAUAGACUUCAUAAUCUACAGAAUAAAUGGAAGCAUAGCAUUUUUCAGCCUAGAAAUAACUACCCAUGUCUUAAGUCCCUGGAUCUAAUGCUAUGGACAGCCGAUGGAUAUCCAAGCAUCAUAAUACGUUAAAAGGGAAGAUUCAGCUAAAACACCAAGCCAAGAGAUGCCACAGCUGAAAGCGAAAGGCUUUGCCAUGCUGAAAUAUUUUCAAAAGAAAUGACAGAAAACAGGCAAGAUGACUCAAACUCCUCCUUCACAUUUUGGCUGGAAAAGAGUCAGGAAUUGGAAACAGGUGAAGAAUUAUUUUAGAGCUGUUUUUUUUUGUCAUUACUCCUACCUUCAAGAAAAGGGAUUGGAGUGUCUGAACUUUUAACUUAAGCUUAGGGAAAGGGGUUUCAAGAGGUCUACACUGAACUUAAUGUAUGUUCCCUGCACCUGAGGAGGACAGAAUAGUCUAAAGUGUGAGAGAAAGACUACUGGUUGCUUUGACGGUGGUACAAUGGAGAAGUGCCCAUGAUAGGAGGGAGGUCAGCCCUUCCAAAAUCUGUCAGGCCAAUGGGUGAAUAGAUGAGUGUUUUUUGGGGACCAGAAGUGGAUCCACAGAGCAAGCUGGUGUGGGGUCAUCUUAGGUCCUAUGCAAGAGGGUGGCCUAGAAACCUAAGACUUGAGCAGAGAGAAGCUGAGGAUCUCCUAUAUUUCUAGAAAAUGAAGGCAAAAGGAAGUGACCAGCCAAAGAAGAUUUGCAUUUGCCCUGCCAAGGAGCUGCAGAUAAGAGAUCUCCAAAAUCUCUGAAGAACCAUGUGAAAGCUCGUGAGAAAAAGUCACUUUAAACUUGUGCAAAAACAGAGAUUACAAAAUCUAACUUUACGGGAUACAAAUCAGGAAACCACUUUCCCUUUGGUUGUCAUGUCUCUUCUGUCUCCUCUCAUCUGUGAGAGUGGCUUCUAGUCUUUCCUUGUUUUCUAAGAGGACUGGCCAGUUAUUUUGUAGAAUGUCCCUCAAGUUGGACUUAUCUGAUGUUUUUUUCAUUAUUUGAUAGGAGUUAUGAAUUUUAAAGCAAAAAUACCACAGACGUGAAGUGCCUUUCCCUUCAAGGGGUAAAUAUCAGGGGGGGUACAUGAAUUUACAUGACUUGUCACUGGUGGUAUUCACCUUGAUCAAUGGUUAUGGUGACAUCUGCAAGGUUUCUUCACUCUAAAGUCACUAUUUUUCCUUUUUGUACUCUGUUAGAAGGGAGUCACCAAGUCUAGCCCACACUUAAAAGGAGGGGAGUUAAGUUCCAUUGACUGAAGGAGGAAUAUCUUCAUAUGUCUUGUGGAAAUCUUCUGUAAGGAAGAUUUGUCCUUUUUCCUCCAUCUAUUUAUUUAUUCAUUUCUCAAUCAAGCAGAAGAAUAGUGCAUUUGUUAGUAAAUUUCAGGGAAAUCUCUAAGAGUCCGACGGCAGGAAAAAGAGCCAGCACGACACAGGUUGCACAGAUAUUAGAAGCUGAGACAAGAAACCACAUGGAGAAAACAAGAAAGAUGCUCUCUGUGGCCUGCUCUGUGCUGUCAGCAAUGAACUGGCUUCUUCCACAAGGUGUUUAGUUUUGCUUUCCUCAUGGCUUCAACUAGCCGAAGCCCCUAGAAGGCCUAAGCCUCUCCCUUGUGCCGGCGCCAUGUGACUGUUGCUCUACGGCAUAACAUCAUUUGACAAAAACUGGAGGUCACCUGGCUCAAAUUCUCAAGAGAGAGAAGCUCAUUUUCUCAGCCGAGCCUAUGGAUGCAUUUCUUCUGGGCCAGGUGUCUGCUUGCACACAGUUAGCUGUGGCCAGUGAUGGGGGAAGGGGUGGGACUACAACCAUCGUGCCCCCUCUGCAUUCGCACACUAAGAACUAAUCGAUUCUAAGAGGAAGGAAGGUGGCAGGCAGGCCAUGCAAAAUGCUCCCGUUGCACUUCCCUUCCACUCUUCCUGGAAUAUGGGUUCUUCUACUAAAAUGGCACCAGGGCUCACAUUCAUUUCCAGUCUACACACCAGCUUUUCUGCUCAACACACCGUGCUCUCUGCCAAUCAUCUCCGUUCUCUGAUAUUUUGUUGUCUGUGCUGAAAUUUUUGUUAAGCAGAUAAAACAGAGCUACUGUCAUUGAAGCAUGGGUGUGGGGAUAUCAUGUCACCCUCCACUCUCUCCAUCCUCCCUCUGGUGGCUGCCAGAACACAGUUUAAGGGAAGUAGACCCAAUAAAUGAUCUAUUUCUCUGGACCUCAGUUUUCAAGUUCAAGAAUGGAAAGUCACUGUUUUCAUAGAAUAUUCUAUUCCCUGAGACUAUAUGGAGGGGCCCUGGGAGAUGCAGAGUGCUUACCCCUAAUAACACCACGAAGCUAAACUGGGUGAUAGAGUCUUCAAAGUCCCAGGAGACACACCCAAACUACGGCACUGAGAAGCAUCUUAUCAUGGACUCUACAGAGAUGUGGGCAGGAUUCAGGAAAAAUAACAAGUAUGGCUCAAUACCCUCAGGGCUUGCAACCUUAGAGAGCCAUCAGUACCCCUCAGACAGAAAGGACAAAAGAAAGGAGUGGUUGCCGGAGUUGGAGGACACAGCUGUCUGGCUGUGGCCUCCAGUGGACAGAAGCAGCCAACCUUCUAGAGUCAGGGGGAAAAAGCUGGGGAACAAAUGCCCAGUCCACCUCCUCCCUCUGAUCUCCUGCCCUGGGCUGCCAUCAACUGACCCCAGCCAGAAGCUGGAGGGCCUGGUUCAGCCCUUAGGGAGCAGCCUCUCAAGACAGACAGCAGGGUGGAGAGGGUGGAAAAUGGAUCUGAAAGAAACACAAGGAAGUUCUCCAGUAUAAGACAGACAGAUGUUUGUGGAUGAGCCUGGCCUCGACCCCCUUUCUUGACUUAUAUCGUCAUUCUCCCUCUGUCCGGUCACCCUGCCUUCUUCUCAUUGCCUCCUAUCAAUCGGCACCCUGGCCAGGCAGUUCCAAGCUCCUUUUCACGUCACAGAUGAAGGAGCAGCUUCGUUUUGAAGACUGUAAGAUCUCGUUUGGCCUGCAUUUCACACACUCUCCAGCUAUGAAAGACCUGGGCUUUCACUCCUGCUUUCCUUGGGUUUCCGCCCAGCUCGGGAGACCUCAAGUCUAUGUAAUGGCCCCUUCAUCCUGACCUUUGAUGGACUUACUUCUACAAAGAGUGCUUUGCUGAGAAACCUCUCCCUAUGAGCACAGGAAAGCCCCCAGUGGUUUUUGUUGUUGUGCAAUGGAAAAAGAAGCCUCAAAUUACUUUCUGAGUAAGUGAGGUUUGCGUUCAUCCUGGAAAGAGUUUUCUUCUCUGAGGCUGCUAUUGCCACGGUCAAUUGAAAACUAGGAAGCUGCUUUCAGAAAUGCUCACCCAGGCUUUGGAAUAUAAUUGAAAACAACUGUUCUUACUGAAACAUGUAGGGAGCUAGAACCAACCCUAGUGACUAGUCAAGGAGUGGGUGGGGACAGCAUGGUUCUGAGGAGGAGAGGGGAAGAUGGUGGUUGGGUGAGGGCAGCGAGAGAAAAGGGGCUUAUUGGUUAGAAGAAAGGAUAAUAAUUUGAGGUUUCCAUGUAGAAUAAAUUUCCAUCUGACCUGCCCUGAUGACAAAAUAAGCUGAGGACGAGAAACGCUGGGUGGCUUUCUAGAGUGACAACACAGCUUCAGAUCCAGGCAGUCAGAAGGCUAGUCCGGAGCAAGAAUCUGGAGCUCUAGUCUCUAGAGCAAGUCAAUGAGAGACAGGCAUUUCCACCCCCUACUUUAAAGAAGAGACAGGGAGUCUAGUUCACAAAGCUAGGGGGUUAGUUCACAGAAGACACAGAGAUAUCCUCUGAGAUUUCAGAAGGAAAAUUCCCAUUAACUUUUCAGGGAUUGUCUCAUUUCGACAAAGAAGACUAGAACACUUACCCCAGUGUGUCCUUUGCCUUGUGUUUCCCACGGGCCCCGUAUUCUCUAGCCUUAGGCUUUCUGCAUAAAUUAUAAUUUUCUUCCUAAGCAAACAGCCCAUACCAAAUGCAGAUGCUGGCUGAAUCUCUGCCCGCUAGGUCCACACAUGGAAUAAAUCCCUCCCUGAGCAAUGUACCUUCCAGCCCUGCAGAAAUAAGGGCUGGCACUUUCCCCGGAGGUCUGACAUGUAGUCUUCCAGUGCCUUGAAGAAUACAGAGAAUCUAGGGGCUAAGUUCAGAACCGAGUACUCUCAGAAGAUAGCAGGAGGGGAAGAUUAAAGGGGGGA